rnacentral:rRNA from 1 species
GGGACACGUGGUAUCCUGUCUGAAUAUGGGGGGACCAUCCUCCAAGGCUAAAUACUCCUGACUGACCGAUAGUGAACCAGUACCGUGAGGGAAAGGCGAAAAGAACCCCGGCGAGGGGAGUGAAAAAGAACCUGAAACCGUGUACGUACAAGCAGUGGGAGCCUCUUUAUGGGGUGACUGCGUACCUUUUGUAUAAUGGGUCAGCGACUUAUAUUCUGUAGCAAGGUUAACCGAAUAGGGGAGCCGAAGGGAAACCGAGUCUUAACUGGGCGUUAAGUUGCAGGGUAUAGACCCGAAACCCGGUGAUCUAGCCAUGGGCAGGUUGAAGGUUGGGUAACACUAACUGGAGGACCGAACCGACUAAUGUUGAAAAAUUAGCGGAUGACUUGUGGCUGGGGGUGAAAGGCCAAUCAAACCGGGAGAUAGCUGGUUCUCCCCGAAAGCUAUUUAGGUAGCGCCUCGUGAAUUCAUCUCCGGGGGUAGAGCACUGUUUCGGCAAGGGGGUCAUCCCGACUUACCAACCCGAUGCAAACUGCGAAUACCGGAGAAUGUUAUCACGGGAGACACACGGCGGGUGCUAACGUCCGUCGUGAAGAGGGAAACAACCCAGACCGCCAGCUAAGGUCCCAAAGUCAUGGUUAAGUGGGAAACGAUGUGGGAAGGCCCAGACAGCCAGGAUGUUGGCUUAGAAGCAGCCAUCAUUUAAAGAAAGCGUAAUAGCUCACUGGUCGAGUCGGCCUGCGCGGAAGAUGUAACGGGGCUAAACCAUGCACCGAAGCUGCGGCAGCGACACUAUGUGUUGUUGGGUAGGGGAGCGUUCUGUAAGCCUGUGAAGGUGUGCUGUGAGGUAUGCUGGAGGUAUCAGAAGUGCGAAUGCUGACAUAAGUAACGAUAAAGCGGGUGAAAAGCCCGCUCGCCGGAAGACCAAGGGUUCCUGUCCAACGUUAAUCGGGGCAGGGUGAGUCGACCCCUAAGGCGAGGCCGAAAGGCGUAGUCGAUGGGAAACAGGUUAAUAUUCCUGUACUUGGUGUUACUGCGAAGGGGGGACGGAGAAGGCUAUGUUGGCCGGGCGACGGUUGUCCCGGUUUAAGCGUGUAGGCUGGUUUUCCAGGCAAAUCCGGAAAAUCAAGGCUGAGGCGUGAUGACGAGGCACUACGGUGCUGAAGCAACAAAUGCCCUGCUUCCAGGAAAAGCCUCUAAGCAUCAGGUAACAUCAAAUCGUACCCCAAACCGACACAGGUGGUCAGGUAGAGAAUACCAAGGCGCUUGAGAGAACUCGGGUGAAGGAACUAGGCAAAAUGGUGCCGUAACUUCGGGAGAAGGCACGCUGAUAUGUAGGUGAAGUCCCUUGCGGAUGGAGCUGAAAUCAGUCGAAGAUACCAGCUGGCUGCAACUGUUUAUUAAAAACACAGCACUGUGCAAACACGAAAGUGGACGUAUACGGUGUGACGCCUGCCCGGUGCCGGAAGGUUAAUUGAUGGGGUUAGCGGUAACGCGAAGCUCUUGAUCGAAGCCCCGGUAAACGGCGGCCGUAACUAUAACGGUCCUAAGGUAGCGAAAUUCCUUGUCGGGUAAGUUCCGACCUGCACGAAUGGCGUAAUGAUGGCCAGGCUGUCUCCACCCGAGACUCAGUGAAAUUGAACUCGCUGUGAAGAUGCAGUGUACCCGCGGCAAGACGGAAAGACCCCGUGAACCUUUACUAUAGCUUGACACUGAACA